AAUUUUUGCAUUUAAGGCUAGCAAAGAGAAGGCGACGAAGACACUCUUUACAAAUUGUUUUUCUUAUGAGAAGGAUUACAACCCCACUCCAAAUCCAAGACCCCAACAACUUCCUGGUACGUUAUUACAGUGGACAGUACCCACUAACUCUAGGCAGGGACCGCAAAUUCCAUCCAUAUUUUGCUUCUUGGUUACUCAGUGCCCAUCUGACGGUCGGAACACAUUGUAGCCAUUGAUUUGCCCCAUAUUUGAAUAUUCUGCAUUGAGAUAUUGGUAACCAUCGAAGUCUAAAGUCCUUGUCCCAAGUAAAGAGAGGUCGGAAGCUGCUCGCCAAUUCGGAACCAACCCAUCAAUCUGGCCAUUUAGGUGCUGUUGUUGACUGGAUGGUGGAAUAAAAUCCAUGGCUGGUUCAUAAUGACUGAUGGAAGAGGUAUAACCCCGUUGAAACCCGCCAUCGUGAUAACUCCGUGUCCGCUCAAACCUGCAAGAGCUUGUUGAGGAUCCUACAUCACCAACUAUACCCCCCA
rnacentral:misc_RNA from 1 species